rnacentral:rRNA from 1 species
UACGGAGGGUGCAAGCGUUAUCCGGAUUCACUGGGUUUAAAGGGUGCGUAGGUGGGUUGGUAAGUCAGUGGUGAAAUCUCCGGGCUUAACCUGGAAACUGCCAUUGAUACUAUCAAUCUUGAAUACCUUGGAGGUGAGCGGAAUAUGUCAUGUAGCGGUGAAAUGCUUAGAUAUGACAUAGAACACCAAUUGCGAAGGCAGCUCACUACACGGUCAUUGACACUGAGGCACGAAAGCGUGGGGAUCAAAC